UGCCCAAAGAGCUGCUGCAUCUUUUUUCAUGACUUUAUUUAGCUAGAGGGAGCCCCAGCUGACGAAGCGUCAAGGCCCCAGCUGACAAAGCAUCAAGGCGAGUUAAGCAGCAGAGCGAAAAGAGGAUGUUACCUCUCUUCUGUUGAAUCUACCUCUUCAAUGAUUCUACAAUAUAAUUACCUGCCAUCAGGCUUCAUCAUCAUCAUCACCAUCCUCAGUUCACCAUCCCCAGAGACUGUACGCUUAGCGAUGGAGAGCUGGUGUGCCAUCCAUCAGGACGAAUGGACAAGCUGCUUAUCAGUCAGGCUGCAUUCCAUCACAGCCCAUCUGAAGUGAGGCACACAAGCAGAAGGUGAUAAACCAAUGACCCACAGAAGGAAAAGGCUUCCAUCCCCACGAAACUUUGCCAGCAUUACCUGGACAGGUGAAGGACUGCAGUGUUCAAGAUGACUAGUCCCAUGGCAUGAUCUGGAGAGAAUCAUAAAUGUAAAUGUACUGCCUUCAAGUCGAUUCCGACUUAUGACGACCCUAUGAAGAGGGUUUUCAUGAGGCUGAGAGGCAGUGACUGGCCCAAGGUCACCCAGUGAGCUUCAUGGGUAUGUGGGGAUUCGAACCCUGGUCUCCCAGGUCGUAGUCCAACACCUUAACCACUACACCACACCGGCUCUCCUAUCCAGGCGAUGGAUGUGGGAAAAUUUUGGUUUGGAUCACAAUUUCAUGUGAAGGAACUAAGGAUGGAUCUGCCAGUUUUGGUACUUUCAGUAUGCAAGACAAGGCAGAGAGGUUUCUCUCCCCCAAAAUAUAUGGGAGGAAGAAACUCAUUUCACUAACGACUAGAGAUGGAAUGAUCUGCCAAUUAUGGUUCUUUCUGUUUCUCAAUUUUCCAUUUCAAUUUUGAAACGUUAAAGUCCUCAUGAAAAUUCUCCACCAUUUUAGUGCGAAUUUCUCCUAAUAAGCACAUAUUUUUGGUGUGCAGUUUUGACUAAGGAACACAUUUUUGCAAGCAGUGCAAACACUUUCCCCUAAUAU